UACAGAGGGGGCAAGCGUUGUUCGGAAUUACUGGGCGUAAAGCGUGCGCAGGCGGUUAUGCAAGACAGAUGUGAAAUCCCCGGGCUCAACCUGGGAACUGCAUUUGCGACUGCAUAGCUGGAGUGCGGCAGAGGGGGAUGGAAUUCCGCGUGUAGCAGUGAAAUGCGUAGAUAUGCGGAGGAACACCGAUGGCGAAGGCAAUCCCCUGGGCCUGCACUGACGCUCAUGCACGAAAGCGUGGGGAGCAAACAGG
rnacentral:rRNA from 1 species